UUUGAUCCCAAUCUCACUGCUCCCGAUCUGCUAAAAAAACUCACUGCUCCCGGUCGGAGUUGACGCCGCCGCCGCCUCCUCCCGUCUCGUGUCGUGGGCCCCUCCAAAGGCCUAGCAGCAUCGCCAUGGAAGGUCGCCGGCUCCGGCCACCGCAGCCGCGGACGCGGCGAGGUGGAGGGACGUGACCUGAGUGGCGCCGCUGCCGCAGCCCCCGUCGACAAGUUGGCGCUCCUCCCCGCCUUCCUCGAGGUACACGUGUGUCAUUUGUCCCGGAAUGGCAGAACCAAGCUCAGUUUCCUCCUACUCCGUUCCAGCGACCCCCUGGGCCGCCGAUCGGACCGAGGGGUGCAGACUUCAGGCAGAAUGUUAGAUAGAUCACAGGGGGCACAUCAGGAUUCGAGUGUGGGAGGGAGGAGCAAUAGUUCUGGUCACAAGUCUGCACAUACUCCAGUUAAGUUGGAGGUUCAGUCAAAACAAACCAGUGGUACAGUUGCUUCUUCAGUGGGAGGAAUUGGGCGUACACAGGAUGUUGCUGCAGAGGGGAAUGGAGCAAAGUCUGGCACAGGAUGUACUAGAUGCUUAAAAGCUGGUCAUAUGAUUAAGGAUUGCACUGAGUAUUUGUUCUGCAUUUAUUAGGGUCUCUAAAAUCACGGAUGAUCUUGGAGCUAUUUUCAAAUUAAGUACUGUAUGGGUACAAGUCUUUGGUGUACCUGAGUCUUUUCAUCACAGGGAUUGGUUUGCUGAGGUUGCUACUCUCAUAGGAACUUUCAUAGAUGCUGACAUGAAAGGUUUCUGGGAGAAUGCUAUUAUCAGAAUCAAAUGUGGAGUUAAAGAUCCCAGCAAAAUACCCGGUAUUGCAGAAUUUACUGAUAAAAAUACUUUGCUAGUGUACCAUGUGGGCUUUGAACUAGAGAAGAUUGAGGAAGAAGGGGGACAUUUGAUUGAUGGAAAACUACUUCUUAUCUCUGAUUUUAACAAAGAAUUGCAAAGAAAUGAAGAGGGCAAAAACUGCUCAACAAGAAGGAUUGUUGUCACCUAGUGCGGGGUUUGAGAAAAAGAGGGCAAGUAAGCAAAAAGUAAAACUUACAGAUGAAGCUGGAUGUGUGAUAUCCAGUCAGGCUAGUUUAGACAGAAAAAUGGAAGAGCUUAGGGAAAAUAUGUUCAUUAAGAAAAAGCUAGAAGAGGAAAGAAAAGAAAAUACUGGAGAGUUGGAUAAGCUAGAUUUUGAGCAGAAAUAUGACGAUUUGGAACUCAAGAGAUGUUAUACAAAGACAGAGGAGGCUUGUUCAGAAAAUCCUGAGAAGGAAAAGGCUACUGGUCCUACAACUGAAGUGGAAGUUGUGCAUUGGAAAGAUGAACUGAUUGAACCAAAGAAAAACAGGAAAGGGGACAAAAAUAAGGGUAACACUGUAGAGGAGAGGAGGCCAAGCGACAGGACAGAUACUGAUCAUAACAUGAUGGACAAGACCAUGGAGAGAGCGAGACUCAAGAACUUGGGAGGAUUGCAAGGUACACUGGAAUACGUGUCGGCGUGCCCUCGAUACGUUCAGAGUUUAGCGCUGAGACUCUCACACUGCAAGUUUGCCGCUUAUCGAUCGCAUGCAUAUGACGUUCACCCUUGGCCUUCAGUUCCCAUGAACUGCUAACGAAACAACGCCUGACGUCGUGAGUGUGGUCACGUUCUGCACCCAAGCAACCGCCCUCCUCCAUUCUCCUCCAGCAGCAGCAAAAGGUCUGGCCCAUCGACGAUGACGGCUCCUCCUUGUGCUCAUCGGCCUCGUGCCCAAGUGCUCUGCAAGUCUGCAUCGGGUAAAGUCUGAAGUUUUUGAUCUUUACUACUGUCAAAAUUCACUAAACUUGUGGGUACAGUAAGUUAGUGUUCUAAGUUUGUCUCUGAAAUUCACUAAGUCAGUCGGUGUCAAAUUUGUCUCUGAAAAGCAGUAACUACUGAAAUCAAAAUUCACUAAGCUUGUGGGUACAGUAAGUUAGUGUUCUAAGUAUGCACUGAAUAGUCCUGCUGCACUAGUGGUUAACUGAACUGCUAAGUAUGCACUGUGAAGUUCAGCAAAAUGACUACUCUUUUCUGUCGUUGUGAAUGAAUUUGCUUGAUUGCAUUCUUGUUUGACUGUAUUUGACUGUAACUCUAGCAAUUCUCAAGGACAAGUUAGUGUCAUGAUCAUGAUCAUGUCCAGUCAUGGCUAUUUGGUUUAUGCAAAGGAUUGCAUCUAGGUUUAAUAAUCUUCUUGUGCAUUCAUCCCCUGCUUUUGGACUGGUUUUUUACUUUUACUGCUGUGUAAGUGCACAUUUCUCUCAGAGAUGGAAAUGAACAGGAGAGAGACAAGCAAAUUGGAGAAGGGGAAGAGCAAGAACAAGAGUAUAUCUACACCUGAAAUAAAUUGGAAUUAAUGGUCCUAAAUUGCAAAGUACAAGAAUUUCGUGACGGAGGGAGUAUGAAGUUGCACUGAAGGAGAAAGACUUUGUUGAGGGUGCUUGGUCACGGAACAACUUAGACAAUGGAGCUGGUUUUUUAAUACCUGUACCAGCUCCACUCGGUGGUGUCAUAAUUAUUGUAAACAGGGAGACAUGGGGCAGGCGUUCUUGAUAUCAGAGUAUGACCUGGGAGGAGAAGGGAACCUGUUCAAGGCUCCAGAACCCAUAACUGAAGAAUCGCUGCUCACCCUCGAUGAUGUCCGGCAGUGGCAACACAAUGGAUGACACCAUCAAGGGCUCCGACAUGGGCCUGAGCGAGAUGCUGUAUGAGUGCGAGAAGGAGCUCAUGGAGAAGUCGGCGAUCGAGGAGACGAUAUCCGAGCUGCUGGACGUCAAGAUCCCCAUGCUGCAGGUCGAGGACGUCCUGGAGAGGUCAGGGCAAGGAUCAUCGACCAAGGGGUCGCAGCCAUGGAUGAUAAUGCUGUCAAAGGUAACCAGGUGCUGCUGCUGCUAAGUGCCAUCGAUGCCAUUGUUGUUGACAAUCAAGACAAGGGAGUGGAGCAGUGUGUCACUCGUGACUUACUUGGGAACCAUGGAGAAUGGUGCAUGAUGACCUUCUGGAUGAUCAGCAGGUGGUGGAGCAAGGUGUCAUUGACCAUGGAUGAUAAUGCUGUCAAUGGUCAACAGGUGGUGCUGCUGCCUAAGUGUCGUUGAAAUAUUGCACACCACGGCAGAUGACAUUGUUGUCGAGGAUCAGGAAAAGGAAGUGGAGCAAUGCGCCACUUAUUACUUGGGAACCAUCAAGAAUGGUGAUGCUGUGGGUGGGUGAUCAGCAGAUGCUGGAGCAAGGUGUUGUCGAUUUAACCAUGGAUGAUGGAUGAUUCUGUCGUGGAACACAAAGUGGCGGAGGAAGGUGUUGUCGAUUUAACCAUGGGUGAUUAGGAACGUGGCUAUGUAAUGGAGCAAGUUCUCAAAUGGGGUACAUCCAGUGAUGCUGCUGCUACUGCUUUGGAAGAUCAGAAGAAUGAGGCUGAGCAAUGCAUCAGCGAUGAACAGAUAGCAGGUAAGGACAUGGAUGGUGUUCAUGUUGAGAGGAAUAUGCUGGAGCAAAGGACCCGUGACAAACAGGGAGCAACAGAGUCUGAUUUCACUGCUGAAAAGCACAAGGAUGUAGGUCUGCCAUGAAUUGGGUGCACCUGAGGGCUCAUGUCAGAUGUUAUUAUCAAGGAGAUCCCACAUAAUAGUUGCUCAUGUUGGCUCCAGCUUUAUCAUUUCCUUUGAAUCUUGUCACACAAGGCCAGCCAGGUCACAGGUCACAGGGGCUGUAGUCAGGCGUGAGGGAAGAGCUGGUUUAGGUGGAGGUAAUGAUGUGAAUUUCUGUGGUGCAACAACUACUAGACUGCGAUCAGCAAGGGACUCUUCAGCAUAGCAGUAGUAAUGGCCUUGAGAAUGACCGUCCAACCUAUAUUUUGCGACAUGUUUGAUACUGCUUCUUUUAAUAUUCGAGCUCAGAUGAACCCAACAUAUUAUGAUUCAUUUGAUAUGCACAUGCACGGGAUUUGCAAGGAGCAUGAAACAACACAUUGAAGAAAAUUUCCUUUGAAGCAUAGUAGAUUAAUAUAAAUAUGUGUUUUUUUUCACUGUUUGAUCCAUUGAUCAAGGGAUGAAUGGGAACUUGAUAGCAGAAGUAAUGGCCUUGAAAUGACCGUCCAACCAUCGCAAAAAGAAGAAGAGAAUGACUAUCCAACCUAUAUUUUGUGACAUGUUUGAUACUGCUUCUUUUAACUUUCGAGCUCAGAUGAACCCAACAUAUUAUGAUUCAUUUGAGUGGCUAUGCAGGGAGGAGCAUGAAUCUCCAGAAGUAUGGUCCCAUAUUUGUGUUCAGAAGCUUGCAGAACUGGCCAAACAGAGUACAACUAUGCGAUGCAUCCUUAUUCCAAUGUUUUCUUACUUUGAUAUGAUGAAGGAACAAUGGGCUCCUCAGCAUGGACUAGCUUUGCUUGUCUUGUCUGAUAUGUCUUAUCUACAGAAGAGUUCAGGCAACGAACAAUUGAUUUUGACUGCUGUCAUCCGUCAUCUGGACUACAAGAAUAUUUUGCACUGUCCUCAGACUAAAUCUGAUAUUAUUCAGACAGCGACAUCUUUGGCACGACAGCUGCGAUCAUGAGGAGUUGCUCCUGAACUUGCAGUAGCAGGUGACUUGUGAAUUCACUUGAGGAAGACACUAGAGGCUGUGGAGUCAGCCAGUGUUGAAGAGCUGAGCUUGAAUGAGUCUUCAAAAUUUCCUGGAUGGCUGUCUUGUUGAAGUCGUAAGAGGAGUUAAAGAUGUGCGGCCACUCUAUGACAUGAUGGCAAUUACAUUGGAGAAUUUGCCUUCUAUGCCUGCUGUUGUCAGAACAACUAUUGGAAGUUUCUCUCUCAAAAAAAAAACUAUUGGAAGUUUGCUGAUACUUUGCCACAUAAUCUCUUUAACAUCAGUAUCUACAGACGCUCCUAUGGUGUUUCCAGAAGCACUCCUCCAUCAGAUAUUGAUAUCCAUGGUACAUCCAGACGCAGACACUCGUGCGGGGGCGCACCACAUAUUUUCUGCUGUAAUUUUCCGAGGCCCAAGCCAUCAGAGGGAAGAGCAAAGGCACAGCGCCUUAGCCUACCAUAUCUGCCACUCAUUCUACAUCCGACGCACAGGAUUGAUGAGUGCAAAACACACCCAGACUUGGUAGUUUUCAGACUUUCAAUGUCAUGACCUUCUCUGAUUGUUUCAGAUUUUGAAAGUCAAGUGCUUCCAAUAGGACUAGUUUUGCAUGUUAAGUGAUACAGAUCGUACAAGUUUCUUUGAUAUGUGUGUUUCAUCAGGAAAGUCUUGGAUUUGUUGAACCUGCUGUGCUUGUUGCGCUCCAGUUUCUUGACGAUUUGCAGCAUGAUUGAGGUGCCUUGGGAGUUCCAUCCAGAUUUAGCUCUUUUCCUUGAUGGCCCUGCAAGGUGGCUGAUCCAUGAGGAGCUGGUUGUGGCCUGUCCGCUGUACUAGGGGAGGGGCUGAGGAGUUUCUGACCGUGGAGCCGUGGUGACAGUACUUGCUUGGCCAGAGUCACUGUUCUGCACAUCUUCAGUUUCAGUUUCUGAUGUUCAGCUGCAAAGGUUCGAGAUCCAGCUCACCGGUUGCCUCCGAAUCUGUGAUGUUUGUCAUGACUUCAACAGAAGACUGAUGAACUACAGAGUAUAGUUCUGCUUGCUGUUGAAUUCCAAGCCGAGGGAGAAAUAGGGGGGAUUCUACCACCGUUGCCAGCAACCAGCCUAUCGUUCCCUAAGCUCACCUGCCGCCGGAUGGUGCACGAGAAGGGUAGGGUGAGUGGGAUUUUAUACUGAAGAAAGGCUCUUUAGAAACCACUCCCUGGCCGAUUCUUGCACCCGAACAUUUACCGCUACCGAAACGCCACCGGAAGAAUGCCGCCGCCGGACCUUGCACAUGUCAAAUCGCCGCCGUUUGGCGAGGAUUGCAGGCUCUUGAUACCAAUUGAUAGGUCCUAGCUACGGAUCUGUCGAAUUAGAACGCAGAACAGAGAAAAGUAGUCCACUUUGGGAGGUUGAAUCGCUCAAGAUUCAAGCUACAGUGGCUAGGGUUCGUCGCCAGCCGGAACACGGCGGCUUGGGGAACACCCCUACCUAUUACAAGAUAUGGAUCACAUCGAUCCCAAAUGGGGCUUUAAUAGCCUGGAGAAGUUGCUAGAAGGUUGUCGGAAAAGCUAACAGUGACACUCGGGCACUCGCUAGCCAUCGGAUGGCUGAUCAGCGGCUUGGAGUGGCGAUCCGUGACGAAGCGGCAUGAAGCGUCAACAGCCGGUGGAUGCCGAUCGAGGGGUUGGCAUUGAAUCCGACAAGGGCGAUAGAAGCGCUACAGUAGAAGUGUUGUGUUCUUCAGUUAUCUUCAGGCUGAGGUCCUGACACGCUGCACCUCACCGCAACGCUAGGAGAUGGCGGCGCAGACCUGCUGCUGCCACUCGUGAGCCCGUGCUGUUGUCGCUCGCGAGCCCGUGUGCGUCCCUGCUGUUGAAAUAUGGGUCACUGAUUGUAGUGUAAAACGAACGUCCUCAAGGGAUUGUAACUGAACUUCUACCUUUUCAAUGCAAAGAAAUGCAAAGGUGUAUUUCCUGAA